rnacentral:tRNA from 1 species
UGGGGUCGUAGCUCAAAUGGUAGAGCGCCCGCUUAGCACGAUGCCUAAGUGCCCGAAACUGCGGGAGGUAGGGGGAUCGAUGCCCUCCGACUCAA